AGCGAACGCUGGCGGCAGGCUUAACACAUGCAAGUCGAGCGAGCGGCAGACGGGUGAGUAACGCGUGGGAACGUACCUUUUGGUUCGGAACAACACAGGGAAACUUGUGCUAAUACCGGAUACCGCAAGAUCGGCCCGCUUCUGAUUAGCUAGUUGGUAGGGUAAUGGCCUACCAAGGCGACGAUCCCUAGCUGGGCUGAGAGGCUGACCAGCCACACUGGAACUGAGAAACGGUCCAGACGCCUACGGGAGGCAGCAGUGGGGAAUAUGGCACAAUGGGCGAAAGCCGGAUGCAGCCAUGCCGCGGGUAUGAAGAAGGCCUUCGGGUUGUAAAGUACUUUCAGCGGGGAGGCGUUACCCGCAGAAGAAGCACCGGCUAACUCCGUGCCAGCAGCCGCGGUAAUAC
rnacentral:rRNA from 1 species